rnacentral:rRNA from 1 species
GGAUCAUUACCUGUGAAGUAGCCCCCUCGGGGACUACUCCAUACACCCUUUGUCUAUGAGUACCACUUGUUAUCCUCGGCGGGCUCGCCCGUCGGUGGAACCACUUAAAACCCUUGCAUUAUAGUAUUGUAAACCUCUGAUAACCCUUAAAUUAUUACAACUUUUAACAAUGGAUCUCUUGGUUCUGGCAUCGAUGAAGAACGCAGCGAAAUGCGAAAAGUAGUGUGAAUUGCAGAAUUCCGUGAAUCAUCGAAUCUUUGAACGCACAUUGCGCCCCUCGGUAUUCCGUGGGGCAUGCCUGUUCGAGCGUCAUUUACACCUUCAAGCCCUGCUUGGUGUUGGGCGUCUGUCCUGCCUCACGGCGGGACUCGCCUCAAAGUUAUUGGCAGCGGUCGUGCCGGCUUCUCGCGCAGCGAAUUUGCGCUUCCCGAAGCCUGGUGGAUCGGCAUCCAGUAAGCUCCCCUUGAAUUGACCUC